UAGGACCGUUGGAGAUGACAACGUAGAUAGGCGAUAGGUAUACGCAUAGCAAUAUGUUCAGCCAAGUCGUACUAAUGAUCCGAAGACUUCCGUUU
rnacentral:rRNA from 1 species